rnacentral:tRNA from 1 species
CAAGAUAUAGCUUAAACAAAGCACCUAGUUUACACCUAGAAGAUUUCACAUAACAUGAAUAUCUUGA